UACGAAGGGGGCUAGCGUUGCUCGGAAUCACUGGGCGUAAAGGGUGCGUAGGCGGGUCUUUUAAGUCAGGGGUGAAAUCCUGGAGCUCAACUCCAGAACUGCCUUUGAUACUGAGGAUCUUGAGUUCGGGGAGAGGUGAGUGGAACUGCGAGUGUAGAGGUGAAAUUCGUAGAUAUUCGCAAGAACACCAGUGGCGAAGGCGGCUGACUACGGGAGCAUUUGACACUGAGGCACGAAAAGCCGUGGGGGGAUCAAAACAGGGAUUA
rnacentral:rRNA from 1 species